rnacentral:rRNA from 1 species
AACGAACGCUGGCGGCAGGCUUAACACAUGCAAGUCGAGCGCCCCGCAAGGGGAGCGGCAGACGGGUGUGUAACGCGUGGGAAUCUACCCAUCUCUACGGAAUAACGCAUGGAAACGUGUGCUAAUACCGUAUACGUCCUUCGGGAGAAAGAUUUAUAGGAGAUGGAUGAGCCCGCGUUGGAUUAGCCAGUUGGUGGGGUAAAGGCCUACCAAGGCGACGAUCCAUAGCUGGUCUGAGAGGAUGAUCAGCCACACUGGGACUGAGACACGGCCCAGACUCCUACGGGAGGCAGCAGUGGGGAAUAUUGGACAAUGGGCGCAAGCCUGAUCCAGCCAUGCCGCGUGAGUGAUGAAGGCCCUAGGGUUGUAAAGCUCUUUCACCGGUGAAGAUAAUGACGGUAACCGGAGAAGAAGCCCCGGCUAACUUCGUGCCAGCCGCCGCCGUAAUAC